rnacentral:rRNA from 1 species
GACGAACGCUGGCGGCGUGCUUAACACAUGCAAGUCGAACGGAAAGGCCCUGCUUUUGUGGGGUGCUCGAGUGGCGAACGGGUGAGUAACACGUGAGUAACCUGCCCUUGACUUUGGGAUAACUUCAGGAAACUGGGGCUAAUACCGGAUAGGAGCUCCUGCUGCAUGGUGGGGGAUGGAAAGUUUCGGCGGUUGGGGAUGGACUCGCGGCUUAUCAGCUUGUUGGUGGGGUAGUGGCUUACCAAGGCUUUGACGGGUAGCCGGCCUGAGAGGGUGACCGGCCACAUUGGGACUGAGAUACGGCCCAGACUCCUACGGGAGGCAGCAGUGGGGAAUAUUGCACAAUGGGCGGAAGCCUGAUGCAGCAACGCCGCGUGCGGGAUGACGGCCUUCGGGUUGUAAACCGCUUUCGCCUGUGACGAAGCGUGAGUGACGGUAAUGGGUAAAGAAGCACCGGCUAACUACGU